rnacentral:rRNA from 1 species
AUAACGUUGCCCACAUCAAACAUCCUAUGCUGGAGUGUGAUGCAUGUGGGCGGAGACUGGUCUCCCGUGCCCCAUGUUGCGGUUGACCCAAAUACGAGCCCCCUAAAGGGUGUUAUGCACGAUUGGUGGUGGUUGAUUACACAGUCGUCUCGUGUCGUGCGUUUCGAUUNCCUGGAAGGGAAAGCUCUUAAAAUAAACCCUGAUGUGUUGUNCUUGUUGCAACUCUUCGA